rnacentral:rRNA from 1 species
UACGUAGGGGGCAAGCGUUGUCCGGAAUUAUCGGGCGUAAAGAGCGUGUAGGCGGUCCGGUAAGUCAGCUGUGAAAGUCAAGGGCUCAACCCUUGAAAGCCGGUUGAUACUGUCGGGCUAGAGUCCGGAAGAGGCGAGUGGAAUUCCCGGUGUAGCGGUGAAAUGCGCAGAUAUCGGGAGGAACACCAAUGGCGAAGGCAGCUCGCUGGGACGGUACUGACGCUGAGACGCGAAAGCGUGGGGAGCAAACAGG